AGUAAUUUGGGUAGUUACCAACUGUAGGGGCAGUUAUGUGUAUUACUAGGAAAUGGGUGUAAAGGGCAAUAAUUUGUUCUGUAUUUUUUAGUUCUCUGUCAGUGUUGGUCCAGAGAAGAUGUGUCAAAUGCUAGACCAAUAAGCCAUGGACCAAAUAUAGGGAGAGUUUAUUCUACUAGGAGAGAGGGGGAUACGUGGCAAACGUGCCUAGGAGAAAGUUGUUAUGCUGUGAUGAAUUGAAGGUUUUAGGUAAGUGAAGAAAAUCAAAAUAAUAUGACCAUGAUAUUAAUAUGAUAGGAUGAGAUGUUAAGGUUAUUACAAAAGAGAAUAAAGUAGUAGUCCUAUUUGUACUAUAAUGAUAUAAUCUCGUUCUAAUUAAAUACGAAAACAAGAAAUAAAUGUGAAGAUAUUUUUUAAUCAAUCAGAAAACCUUCAAUUUAAGAGACACACCAUUGAAUGCUUGGGGCAUGUGAUCUUUGGAAGUUGUCGUUUUACUUGUAUUGUUGAUUCGAUAGCUCGCAACAAUGGUACAAAAUAACAUUUAUUUGUUGAGUCACGAUCAAGUCGGUCGCUCUCUUUAAGAUAUUUUGUGAUACUGCUUAAAUUGUGCAAGCAGCUACCAACCAUGUCGUUCCUAGGAUAAAAUAACCUAGUUCUCUAUAAUCGAGUUCUUACUACAGUAAGAAUCGAUCUCGAAUACACCCACAAUAUGGCUAUCUGUGUCAGUUCUCUAAAUAUCGGCAAUAUGGCUACUCGUGCCAAUUCUUAUCGCACAAUCUGACUACUAGUGUCUGUAUCGAUAUUCCCACAAUGUGAUUGAUUGUGUCAAUUCUUAGUGUCACGGAAAUAAAGGUGGAGAAAAAAGACUGAAAAUGCAUCAUCAUAUAUUUUGAGGGAGAAAGAAGUCAAGUAGAAGAAAGCUCUCGACUUGGGGCAAGUUAUUAUGAGGGGAGGAGACCUCCAUUUAUAGCCUAAGGCCUCCAACCGCACCUCCAUCCGACGACUCAUAGAGGUGGUAAGUUUUUAAAUGGUCACAUAAUCUGAAUGUGAAGAAAAAGUCCCACCCAGAUUCUCCUCUUGACCGAGCCUUCCCUUCUCCACUCUCCUCAACUGUCCUUGCAUGUUGACUUGUUCCAAGCCCAAGCCCAAAAACGCCCAAAAUAAAAAAAUGAAUAAAAAUGUAUUUAAAAAAAUGUUGGACCUGACCCUUCCGGAUGGCGGCGGAGGAGGUGGUGGUGUGCGUGCGUGUGUUGGGGAUUUUGUUUGUGUGAGUCCUCAUCCACUCACAAAACCCAUUGUACCCCUUAGGGCACACCCGAGUGAGUGAAGUUAAGCCUUAUCAAGCAUUUCAAACUUCAUCCUCCAAUCAAUCCACGACUUGGGAGUUUUAUCAUUUCACACUCUCAAAGUCAUUAUUAAUGGCCCCAUUAGUAUGCAUUAAAACCAUGCAAUUUCCGAACAAAUUCCUACAAUAUUUCUCAUUCCCAAGAGGAAUCCAUUGUUUUGGAUAUUCCUUCAUCACAUAUAACAGAACCAGUUCAUAAGACUAGCAAAGUUAUCAGUUGAUAAGGUUUUGACUGCACCAUGUGAGA
rnacentral:lncRNA from 1 species